rnacentral:rRNA from 1 species
CCCUGCCUACGGGGCGCAGCAGUAGGGAAUCUUCCACAAUGGGCGAAAGCCUGAUGGAGCAACGCCGCGUGGGUGAAGAAGGUCUUCGGAUCGUAAAACCCUGUUGUUAGAGAAGAAAGUGCGUGAGGGUAACUAUUCACGUUUCGACGGUAUCUAACCAGAAAGCCACGGCUAACUACGUGCCAGCAGCCGCGGUAAUACGUAGGUGGCAAGCGUUACCCGGAUUUAUUGGGCGUAAAGGGAACGCAGGCGGUCUUUUAAGUCUGAUGUGAAAGCCUUCGGCUUAACCGGAGUAGGGCAUUGGA